rnacentral:misc_RNA from 1 species
CCUUAAAGAACCUGCCUUUGUAGUGCUCACACAGAUUGUCUGAUGAACGUAAAGAAGCAAGGCGUCUUGCGAUUGAGACUUCAGUGUCCCCUUCGUCUAGAGGCCCAGGACACCGCCCUUUCACGGCGGUAACAGGGGUUCGAAUCCCCUAGGGGACGCCACUUGCUGGUUCGUGAGUGAAAGACGCGAGCCGAACUAUCUCAAAACUCAUCUUCGGGUGACGUUUGAGAUAUUUGCUCUUUAAAAAUCUGGAUCAAGCUGAAAAUUGAAACGACACACAGUCAAUGUGUGUUCGAGUCUCUCAAAUUUUCGCAAUCAGAAGUGAAACAUCUUCGGGUUGUGA